GGGGGCUCUCCAAGGCAAGGGAGAGGAAGAGGCCGAGGCAGGAGGCGGCCGUGAACAACAGGCGGAAGCUGCAGCGGCAGCAGAUCAGCUGCCGCCGCGACCGCUCCUUCUCGCAGGAGCGCUUCCGCAGCUACAGCUGCGUGCUAACUUCCUUCGUCAAACCUUGCAGCGGCCUGUCUGGCUUCCUAUGAUAUAGAAGAGUUUGAUACCCACGAUCCUUAAGGAGGACAGCUUGCUACUAGCUUACUUGAGGAAAAUUAUGAGAUAGUUGCAGCACGUGGCAUAGCUUUUUUUCUCUAUCGCCAUCCGGAGUGUGUGCUGCUUUUAGUACAUGACAACUCGGAUACCAUUGUUGUGAAUUCCACAUUAUGUUAUCUUCUUAAGAUGCUGUCAACCCUUUCAAGGAAGGUUCCAACUUAUUCUGCUCAAGACAGGCGACAACCCAUCACCGACGUACCCAUCCGCACAGCAUUGGCGGCGUGGUGGCUACUGAUGCACUCAUUUGAUUUGAUCAUCACAUAUCAGCUUGGCUGCUCCAUACUCCACAGUCCCAGCCCCAAGCUACAUCCUACAACCAAAUGGGCGGUGGAACAUGGCUUCACUGAAACAACAAAAAUUGACGCAACUGCCUCAAAAUUAGAACAAUCCAAACCAUGAAUUUGUGUUGCUUCUAUCCCUAAUGCAAGCACCAACAAAUUACUAGCUGCUAUUUGAAUCGAUUCCCUUGCCUUGUUGCUGUCGUGCACGGUGAGAUGCCACUCGCCAUGGCCGUCAUUGAAGGCCUCACUGUUGCGACCUGCUGGACCAGUGGUCCCACGCCAUGAGCUUGCCCUCGUCGAUGGCUGGCGUAGUGCAUCCCGGCAACAGGCAGCUGAAAGGGACGUGAUCUAGCAAGCCGAAAUGGCCCUCAUGGGAGCUCACCUGCCGUCGGCUGACUAAGUGACUAGAGAAGUGCGUCGCAGCGCAAAUCGGCUGUUGCUGCUGAACUCUAAAAAAUUGCAAAAAUUGCAGGGGCUAAAAUUGCAAGAAAGGACUGAAGGGACCAGGGGCUAAAAACAACAAGCUAAAUGAGAUUGAGCAGGCGAUGAUUAUUAGACUUUCUGUUGCUUGAUGAGCCUGAUGCGUGAUUGCGGGCCGGAGGCGGAGGGGAGGAGAAGGGAGGAAAGUGGGCUGGCUCGGUUGCAGGCUGAGGAAAGAAACGGGCUUAAAAUGGCUCAGAGAGAAAGGAGGGUUUAUAUUUAGAUUUUUAUUUAAAUAAAUACUGAAAUGAUGUUUGUAUUACUAAAAUUAUCAAUUGAACUAUGAAAAUUUCGAAAAUAAUUUAGAUAGCGUAAUUAAUCAUGGAGAAUUUAACAAAAUUUAAAUCCAGCCUGAUUUUAUUUGGCAAAUUUUAUUCCCCACAUUUACUUCACUGGUACAUUAACUGAACUUUAGUAUAAAUUCUAGAAAUAAUUUAUUAAACAAUUUAUAAAUCCUAGAAACGAACAUUAGGCACUAGGGUGUGACAGUUCAUCCCGUUCUCGAUUUGGAUUAGGACGAUACAUACGUAUGCCCAUGUCCCCCACAAGAAUCGUGCAUCAUUCAAAUUUUUGUUGUCGCUGCUCAUCAAAAUAGAGAUCAAAUUCAAUGAAAAUGCCUCGAUGAAAACACGUUCGAGAGAUAUAUGUGUAAUUGCGAUUUCAUUUGUAGCGGGGAUGAAAUAGAAGGAAGAUGGUGAAAUUUGUAUUUUAAUUAAUUACAAAAUGUAAAUCUCUCAGCUUUUUCUCAAUUUUCUCGUAUUUUCUUCCCGUUGCAACGCACGAGCACUUUUUCUAGUGUAUAUACUGUGCAUACAUACAUAUAAACUUUGUAUACACAUUCACAAAGUUUAUUCAUAUAUACCAUAACCCUAUAAAUACGUGGUGGAGGACUCCGCGUGGUGUGUGAUCAUCGGCUGCACAUCGCCGGACACGACAUUUUACAACCUCUGCCUUCACCAGUUCAGCGUCACAGCCUCAAGCCGCGUGCUAGGCACCAGCAACGACUUCCUGGAGCGCCUCGCGCGUAUCAUCCCAACCCCAAGUGAGCUGGCACGAUCGUGCUAUGCAGAUGCCAAGGCCACGCUGAGCAGUGAUCCCCUUCAGCUGGUCCUCUGUUGUGUCCCCUGGAGCCUCUGCCUCGAAUCGGACAAGGAAGAUAGUAUCAUGCGAACGGAAAUUGCAAGGCCCACGGUAGUUCAGAUGCUCGACCUCUUCAACAAGAACAAGUCCCUGAUGCCCGAUCUGCCAGGUCCUUGGGCACCUCACUGGCCAGUAUCAGCGGCAAGCGACAUUUGGGUACUAUACCUGGCAUGAUGCCCGGAAAAGAAUGGUCAGUCAUACCAAGUGAUGCGCCGUUAUGACAAGCUCACUGAUGAAUGGGUGGACGUCGACAGAGUCGACUUGUGCCAUGAUGGCCCCUGGACUAUGGUAGAACCAGGACGUGGCGUUUUUGGUGGUUGUUUUAUCACUGGUCAAGUUUCAAUUCUUCAGGGUUAUGUGGUCAUUGGGGACCUAAUACUAGUAUCAGUAGGAAGGACACAAUUUUUCUGUUUCAAUUGCUCGACUUGUAGUUGGAACUAGGUGACCAUCACUGGCGAUAGUUCUCACUAUAUCCUUUUCUAUGGUAGAGCAGUUUAUGUGGAGGAGGAUGACACGAUCUAUUUCUCGCGGGGUUGCUCUCUUGUUGCUUACAAGUUCCUGCGAGAAGAGAUGCAACUGAAGCCACCAGUCAAGAUCGGAGAGAAGCUCUUUCCUUAUGGCGAUGAUGGGAGUAGUUUCGUUGCCCGCCUCAAUGACCGCAUUUUGUGCGUUGUCUGGGUUAGUAUGAGGCUUGCAUGCGGAUGCACUAACCGUCACAUGCUUGUUGCCACUGUUUGUGUGACUGGUGAGAGCCACUGUAGCCAAGAUUCCGUCCCCCUGGGUUGUAAAGUGUUGCACUACACUUGCCGCAAGAUACAAAUGGUGGGAAGGGAUGAAUGCUCUGGUAGUUUUGACAAUUUCUGCUUCUUACAUGAAGUAAUUUACUACUCUGCUUUGAACACAUCUGAUCAAACAUAGCAUUUUUCAAUUUGUGAUUUUUAGAAAAAAAAUAUUUCUAAUAUUACUCAGUAUAGCUAGAACUUACUGAUCAAGAUUUUGAAUCUGUUAGUAUUAUUCUUAUGUUAUAUCUUAAUUAGAGAGUACCGGGAGGAGAAGUCUCAGCAUCUAGAAGAACAUCUAGUGUUGGAAGAAGGGGUGGAUACUGUAGAGCCAUCUGCAUUGCUUCCUUGUUGCAGGAAAUUCUUAAAAUGACAUGAGAAAAAUUCAAGCAAAGGGAACUAGAACUCCGGUAGUUACAGUUACUCUGCCACAAUUAGCAAGGUGGACAUCAAAAUACCGGACAGUACCUUGCCACACCAAAUCAGGAGCAAGUGAUUGGAGAAAUAUGAAGCAUUUUCUUAGAAGUUAAUGUUAUAUAGUGCCUAGUACUUCUUUAGUUACCUGCAUGCUAUUCGAAGUACAGCUCCUGUUAGGAAGACCUAUGACGACUUGCACAUUUGUGUGCCUACUUGGGUUUUGGUUGUUGCCAAUGUACCCUACUGGCACAUCUCUGUCUGAUUC